AUGGGUUUUGGCAUCUCUUUCCCUAGUCUGUCUUCAUCAAGAUCAAUUAAACUGCCUUUAGGUUCUUCUCCUGGCAAAAUUACUGACUCCAGCUUCUCUGAUUCCUCUGUGAUAGUUUUACUUGCAAAGCUCGUUGAAGCUGGUUCUGGCUGUUGUGGCACCUUAUCUGUUGCAUCAACAGACAAGAGAACAGAAGAGGAAAUCCCCCCUGCCCCCCGCUCAGGGCACUUUUUUUUUUUUUUUUUAAGCUUGGUUCUAUUUAUUUAUUUUUUUGAAAUUUUCUGUGUGUUUCCAACAUUACCUUCCAUGUCUUCAUCCUUACCCUACUCACCCUUCACCCACAAAAUAAGAGUAGUUCACAUACAGAUACAAACUGAUUCUAUUUAAGAGAACAAGGAAACUGAAGAUAAAAGUGAGAAAGGGAGGAUAACGAAAGGCGUUAGGAAUGAAAUGGGGGCUGAAAUAAUGCCAGCAGCAGGUUAAAACUAGAGUUUAAGAAUUUUAGCACUAAAAAAGAGAAAAAAAAGUACAGAAAGAUCCAGCAGGAUCUACUUUGAGUCAGUAGGAUCAAGUCAAGGGUAUUUUUCAAAGAUAAGAAGAUCUAUGUAUGCUAUAAAGUUGAGAGGGACUAAACAGAAAGAGAAUAAAGUUGUUAGAAUGAGGGGGAAGACCUCAAAAAAGUGCGAUUCUGAGAGGUUAACCUUAGGUAUGUCAUAUAAUCUAAUCAGGUCCAUAAUUUUUAAAAUUCCUUUUUUUAAUUGCUUGGAAAGGCUAUUUCAAAAAAGAGUUUAUUAUUAUCACUGUACUUCUUAGAACAGAUAAUGCCAUAUGUCAAACUAUCAAAUCACACAGUGCAUAGCACUUUAAAACUGUAUUUAAUAUUCACAAGAACCAGGUAACUAGAAUAAUAUAAACACACUGUGCAAUUUAGCAAACCAAACACCAAAGCAGGAGAUUCAAUUUCACAUUUAUAAACUCUUACAAUGUUGGAUUAUAAUUCAAGAUUAAAAUAUUUCAAAUUUGAUGUUUUCCUACAAAUGCCAAAUUUCAACCCUUUAAUGCCUUUUCAUCUCAAGAUUUACAAAUGUCAUCAAUGCGGAAUCUGUGAGAACAGUAUUGCCUCUUGAAGUCAGUUUCCACCAACCUAAAGAAGUAUUCAACUACAUGUAAAUUAAUUUUAGAGAAUAGAAUAUCUCACAGCAUUUAAUUUUAAAAGGACAAUCAAUCUAUAGUCAUAAAAUCAAGCUCAAGCUUAUAUCAAUUAUCAAUAUUUAAGCAUAAAAAAACUAAUUUCAUUUCAAAGAAUCAUCACAUGAAGAAAGUAUUUUCUUCCACCUACAACUCAUGAAACUAAAUUUCAGCCAACUAUAAGCAUGAGGGAUGCAUGUAGACUUCUCAUGCAUCUACAUGAGCAGAAACAUUUAACACCUAAAUUUGUUUAUUAUUUCUUACAAUGAAAGAAGUUUAAAUCAUGUUUUAAAAAUUAAAAUCUUAUGACUAAAGACUUAUAAACCACUUAGGAUAUAAAUGUAUUACUUUUACAUGAAAUAUGAGCUGAAAUUAUUCAAGUGCUUCUGUCAGUACUAGAUAAGUUGGAUGGUAAACAGAAAGUAGUUGUGGGAAAACUACCUUCUACACAGAUGUAUUUAUUUCUCCAUUCAAUACCAUCAGGCCUGGGAAUGGCUUUGGCUUCACGAACUGAAAUCAUCUGACUAUUCCAGCUGGAAAAAGAAAAACAUUCAUGUUGUUGUACAGCAGAAACUAACAACAUGGUAAAGCAAUCAGACUCCAACUCUGAAGAAAAGAAAAACAUAAAUCAUAUUAACUAUUUUCUUAACUUCCCUUUUACUAUUUUUAUUAUAUCAAUAGUUAGGCACACUCUGAUUUUCUCAUAGAACUGAAAUCUGCAUCAGCUCUCUGCAGCUCAAGUAUCAUUUCCCCUUCUCUGCUUCUUUUGUCUCUGUAACACUUAGAUUUCUAAUCAUUUGCUUAUGUAUGUCAUUUAUUGUGUCUCCUCUAACUAGAUGAAAGCUCCAAGAUCCUGAGCUAUUUAUUUUUGUGUUUUUUUACUGUUCAUUUAGUUGCUUAGUAUCAACUAGGUACUCAAUAAAUAUUUUUUGAAUAAAUAAAGUAAUAAGAAAAAUAAUCUGUAAGUAAGCAAAAAACUGUUUCUUGUUAAACCCCAGUAAGAAUUUUUUAAGAGAGGUAAUCUUGUGUUGUUUUUGGUAUCUUGUUCAGGUGUACCUCUACUGAUAUGAUUUAUGGUAGAAAUUUUAGAAAAAUGAAUACUCUAUGAAAACAUACUGUUAUUGCUGUGUAUCAGAUGUAGCUGUUUAUAGUGACGUUUUAGUCAAGCAAAACAAUUUUAUCAGCAUGCCUGAAGGUCGACUGUCCAGUCUUUAGUAAGGCCUAACCUUACACUGUUGUUUUUUUAAUUUAUAAUUUUGUAUAACAUUCCUUUUUUCAAAAAACAUUUUAAAAAUAUAUAACUACUCAGCUUGUAUUCAAGAGAAAAAUGAGUCUGGGGGAAGCUGGUAUCUUUUUUUUUUUCAGUUGUUUUCAGCUUUUUCCAUCAUUCCAGUAGGAGGAAGACGAUACUUUGGGACGUUCCAAAUGCAACACUCAUCCUACUCUUCCUCUAUUUAUUAGAGAAUCCAUAAGGAUAUAACCGUGGGUCCAACAUGGCAUUUGUUUCUGAAAACUGACCAAUUUCUAUGGUAAACAUGCAAGAAAACACUGCAUCUCGUGAAGUCUCAUAAUUGAAAAUGAUCCUCAAAGUAUGACUAUUUUUUCUUAUUAAGAGUACAGUUUAGGAAUAGCUUGCAAAGACAGCUUUAAGUUCUUUAAACAUAUUUAUGCUUUUUAAAAGUAAGUGGGCUGUGAAAAAGAAAUACUUAGUAUUGGUUACAGUAACAUGCUGUAGGUCCUUAAAUGUACAGCAGCUCCGUUAGUAUGGACUUCAAACAGAAAAGAAGUACGGCUCUACUGGUCCAAGUGUGUUUCCAAAAUCUUCUUCAAGGUAACACCGUCAAGGGGAGAGUUCUAUAACCACGUUGCCAAACCAAACAAGAUUACAGCAGAAUUACACUUUGUGCUACUUAACUUUAUUCCAUGUAAGACAACUUCCACUACUAAAAAUGAACUUUUUCCUGAGACUCCUUGUUUCAAAUGUCAACUUAUAAGACAGGUGAAUCUGCAGUAGAAUUAAUAUUGAAAACAUUAUGUUAAAAAAAAAAAGAGGUGGACUAAUUUUUUCCUCUCAGACAAGUUUAAAAUACUGAACCACCACAUCCUGCUGUUAAACUAAAACUUUUACUUCCUUAAAUGAAAGAACUCUUAUUAAACUCAACCCCGAAUUUCUAAACUGGAUCACAGAAACAUACGUGACACAUUCAUGUUCACUUUUUUAUCCCUAACCAGAUAUUAUCUAAUCUUCACCUAUAAUCAGCCCAAAAAUUAUUAUUUACAUGACUGCAUCAUCUGAAGUACUUCACAGAGGGGAAAAAAGACUAUUUGAAUCACUAUACUAUUUAGACUGAUUCAAAUGACUGCAUUUUUAAAGAACUUUUAAAAAUAUCUAAAUUAUUAAAUAUUUCAAAUCAUAAAACAUGAUAACAACUUUUAUACAAUUUUUAAUCUUAUAGGUGAAUUUCAAUGUAGAAUUCAAAUGGUAAUUUGGAAAUAUUUUUCCUACACAUUUCCUUCUUUAAAACAGGCUCUAAACUAAGCCUUCUGUCAUACCAUAUUUCUCUACUGUAACUUCCUUGCCAUAUGAAAAUCUGUUAUUGUCACUCAAUAAUUAAAGAAUAAAAUAAGACAAUCUAUAAAAGAGUAAUGUUUCAGGAAAAAAAAACACCAGAUAUUGGACUUAAUUUAAUCUACAACAGAUUCAGUUCAGUUCAGUUGCUCAGUCAUGUCCGACUCUUUGCAACCCCAUGAAUUGCAGCACGCCAGGCCUCCCUGUCCAUCACCAACUCCUGGAGUUCACUCAGACUCAUGUCCAUCAAGUCGGUGAUGCCAUCCAGCCAUCUCAUCCUCUGCCAUCCCCUUCUCCUCCUGCCCCCAAUCCCUCCCAGCAUCAGAGUCUUUUCCAAUGAGUCAACACUUCCCAUGAGGUGAUCAAAGUACUGGAGUUUCAGCUUUAGCAUCAUUCCUUCCAAAGAAAUCCCAGGGUUGAUCGCCUUCAGAAUGGACUGGUUGGAUCUCCUUGCAGUCCAAGGGACUCUCAAGAGUCUUCUCUAACACCACAGUUCAAAAGCAUCAAUUCUUCGGCGCUCAACCUUCUUCACAGUCCAACUCUCACAUCC
rnacentral:lncRNA from 1 species